CCGGCACGGGUGAGUAACACGUAUGCAAUCCACCUGUAACAGGGGGAUAACCCGGAGAAAUCCGGACUAAUACCCCAUAAUAUGGGCGCUCCGCAUGGAGAGUUCAUUAAAGAGAGCAAUUUUGGUUACAGACGAGCAUGCGCUCCAUUAGCCAGUUGGCGGGGUAACGGCUCACCAAGGCGACGAUGGAUAGGGGUUCUGAGAGGAAGGUCCCCCACAUUGGAACUGAGACACGGUCCAA
rnacentral:rRNA from 1 species